AGGAUACACAUUUGCCUCCCUGGCGACAGCCAUCACCCCUGGGGCGUUGAGCACUGUCCUAUGCUGAAGAGAGACUGCUGAGAUAAAAUAAAAGAACAUCGGGAAUACUGACUGGCUGCUGACACUGACUUCCAAGGCUCGAGCCAAUUUUGCAAUGUGUGAGACUUCACACACUCGCCCUUCCUCUCUGCUCUUGAAAAAGAUUCUGGACUCCUACACAACUUACUGUGCCUCCUUGUCACCUGAAGGUUCGGUCUCUGUCAAUAACCCCAGCCACUCUGCUCGUUAUAACUUCCGAUGAUUUGGGGAACGGAUAUGAGCAACACCUGUCCACUCUCCUGUGGCUGGAUUACCACAGAAUGGAAAAUUUAAGGACAAACUGUUGACAUCAGUUGAGGUUUUCUUAGCUAGACCAUCAAGCUGAAACCAGGAGAGCCACAAAGAAAAGUCUAUUCUCACUGUCCUGCCUAACAUUCCUCACACUAGCCAGAGACAGCCCACGAUUUUACCACUCCCUACCCCUCCCAUUUGUCCUAAUCACCACUGAUAUGAGUGCUGUCUUGGUUAGGCAUGGUUUGUGCCAGAGCCGACCUUUCCUUCGUUUCUGUGCAACUGUCAUCAACGACGAAGAGUAUCUCUUUGAAAUUGUUUCCUAUCCCAGCUUACCCUUUGAGUGGUAAUUUCUUGUGCUACUUUCUAAAAACUACGAUGACGUCUGUUCCUAUCCUCCACUGAACUAUGAGCUCCACGGAGCAGGAAAUGGGAACAUUUGGCUCUCUGGUGCUCUGGUGCAAAGAGCUGUGCUCAAAAGCCUGGAAGAUGUUCAGCCAGUAUUGGUCAAACGAGUAACCAGGAGUGGGAAGUCACUUUAGAAAUGGCACAAAACCCUUCUUCACUAUGAAGACAGCCAGGAACAUGGAUAGAAUACACAGAAUCCGUGAGGGGAAAGACGGGCUUCCCCUGGAGGACAAGGGUACUUCGAUGAGAAGGUGGGAGCAAACUUGAACUUCUGGGCCAAGGAGCGAGUGAGACAAGCUCUUGAUGUGGAUGGAGCUCUUCCCUGCCUUGUUCAUUCUAAUCCUGCUCUUGAAAUUUCAAAGAGAAACUCAGGCAGAGAAGCACAUGGAUCUCUUUCCAUAAAUAUGUUCAGGACUCCAAUCAGAAGCACUGACAGAAACAGUUGAUGUAUACAUACAUGCAUCUAUGCAUACACACACACACACACACACUCAUUUAAGAUUUCAUCGUAUACAUUGUGUAUGCUACUGUGUCUCAUAGGAUGUUCCAUGCAAACGCAUGUGUGUUGACCACACUUCCCACAUCUCCCUAUACUACCAUUUCCUCUCAUGCCUCUCCCUGAGUCAUCUUUGCUUCACUAGGAAGUUUGCCUUCCACUUUCAUAUAACAUCUUAUACUUGAUUUUAUGUAUCUCUAUAAAAUCUGGGAACCACAAAUGACAGAAAACAUGACAUUUGUGUUUCUGAGAUGAACUUGAUUCACCUGAUAUGGUUAUCUCUGGUUAUAUCCAUUUCUCUCUCGACAAACGACAAUUUCAUUUUUUCUUUAGAUCUGGAAAUUCCCAUUGUGCAUAUAUAGCACAUUUUUUUAAUCUACUCCUCUGUUGUUGAGCACAUAGGCUGAGUGAGGGACAGUUGCGUUUUAAAGUGAAACAUAUUAUUGUCUCUAAAUAUUUGUAAAGCUUCAUUUCAAGAGACCUGAUUUGUGUUGCAAUGGCUUUGAGGAACCUUUUGAUACAGCCCAUGACCAGAGCAAUAAUGUUUGGGUUUUCCUCCUCGAACUUUUGUAACCUUACAUAAAUGAAACCACUAACACCUGCAAAGGAUGAUCCACCAUACAGCCUGCAGUCUGCAUGCAGCCCUGGGAUAAAGACCCACAGAGACCAGUCUAUUAGCACCAUGACGUGGGCUACUUAGAGGACUCUGUGAAAAGGCCACUGGGAGCACAGAGCACAUCAACAAUGGGAGCACAACAGUCAGAGCUUUGCAUAGUCACAAUCCCAGCAGACAUUGCCUCAUCUCUGUGAAAUUGCUUUGUUAUGAAAGAUGGCUUUUACCGCCGAAAGGUCCACGGGAGAGUUUACUCACAGAUGAAGGGUAUAAGGAUGCUCACCAUUAGAUAAAUGGAUGGCAAAUUGUACUAAGAACUAAAAGAGAGACUUUCAGCUUGGCUAAUAGAUCUGAGUUUAUCCUGUGACGUAGGGGUAAGGGGGAAUAGACAAACUGCCCUGCUGAUAUUGAGGCCAUGGAAAGGAUUUGUGACAGCAACAUCAUGGGAAGGCACUUUGCUUCGUUGACUGAAGGCUUUUCUAAUUCACUGUUUAGGGAGGAGACUCUGCCAUGAGCACCCAGGAGUCCUUCCCUGAGAGCUAUUUUAUACGCCAUGCUCCCUGCAGUCAGCACAGGGUCUCCAGUUUGCCAGAGGGCUCCAAGAAAGCCUGUGCUUUUGUCAGAGCUCUGGGUCUCUUAGGAGCCCAUUUAGGUGAAGAUUACCAGUGCAGAGCCACGUGGCUUAGAGUCCAGGUUUUCAGGGCACCUGCUGCACUUCGAGUGUUCACUGCCCCCUGCUGGAAACUCUGAGGCUUUCGUCUAAUUCAGACUAUAAUGAAGUCACUGUGCUUCCUAUCUGAAGGAAACUCAGCCCCUCUUCUUCGCAGCAAAUUUCCUUCCUCAUAUUGACCGAGAAUUGAUAAUUACUGGAAAACGUGAGGAUGAAGAGGAGACAUGCUCUUCUGCCUACUGUGUUCUUGUGGAAACCCUCCGAAGCGGUGGAUGCUCACAGGAGUGCUUCUUAUGCCGACAGCCGUGGGCUAAUGUCACCGGCAUACACAUCUCCAAGCACACACUUCGGAAAGGUCAAGGAGGAUCACAACUCCGCAAAAGAAGGUGCUGACUUGUGGGAGGCCACCCAGACAGUGCUACCUCCCCACAGCUCCUGUCAGACCAGGCAGCUCCACUGGCAAAUUAGGGAACUUGUAGAUUCAGGCAUCUGAUAAAACAGUGCAUUUAGCAAGAAAAAAAUAAAACAAACUUAAUCAAG